ACAUGCCCUUAUAACACACAUAAUCACAUUUAAUCUCAUCCUUCCCUUCAUUUUGACCGAAGCCAAGAAAGGAAAAGAGAGAAAGCACGAGAAACUCCAUGGAAGCCACAAACGUUCGGCGUUCAAUUUCUUGAUAUCAGUAACUCCAAUAAAAAAUUUAAUUCGAUAAAAGUGUUCGUAUUUUCUUCCUCUUCACGUUGGCGUUACUUUUGUUCAGUAGAAGUUGACGAUGACAUAGCUCUCUUGCUCCUUGAGUUCGGCCAAUUGGAGUUCUAGGAGG